rnacentral:tRNA from 1 species
GCAGUCGUGGCCGAAUGGUUAAGGCGAUGGACUAGAAAUUCAUUGGGGUCUCCCCGCACAGGUUCGAAUCCUGUCGACUGCG